rnacentral:rRNA from 1 species
GACGAACGCUGGCGGCGUGCUUAACACAUGCAAGUCGAACGAAGUGGCGAACGGGUGAGUAACGCGUAAUCAACAUGCCCUUCAGAGGGGGACAACAGUUGGAAACGACUGCUAAUACCGCAUACUGAAGGAGGGGAUUGCGUCUGAUUAGCUAGUUGGAGGGGUAACGGCCCACCAUGGCGAUCGUCAGUAGCCGGUCUGAGAGGAUGAACGGCCAAAUGGGGACUUAGUAACGGCCCAGACUCCUACGGGAGGUAGCAGUGGGGAAUGUGCCGCAAUGGACGAAAGUCUGACGGAGCAAAGCCGCGUUAGUGAUGACGGCCUUCGGGUUGUAAAGCUCUGUUAAGCGGGACGCGGUACCGGAAUAGAAAGCCACGGCUAACUACGUGCCAGCAGCCGCGGUAAUUC